rnacentral:rRNA from 1 species
GACGAACGCUGGCGGCGUGCUUAACACAUGCAAGUCGAGCGGUAAGGCCCUUUCGGGGUACGACGAGCGGCGAACGGGUGAGUAACACGUGGGUGACCUGCCCUCAGCUCUGGGAUAAGCCUGGGAAACCGGGUCUAAUACCGGAUAUGACUCCAUGACGCAUGUUGUGGGGUGGAAAGCCUUGUGCGGCUGAGGAUGGGCCCGCGGCCUAUCAGCUUGUUGGUGGGGUGAUGGCCUACCAAGGCGACGACGGGUAGCCGGCCUGAGAGGGCGACCGGCCACACUGGGACUGAGACACGGCCCAGACUCCUACGGGAGGCAGCAGUGGGGAAUCUUGCGCAAUGGGCGAAAGCCUGACGCAGCGACGCCGCGUGAGGGAUG